GGAUUGCCCUAGUAACGGCGAGUGAAGCGGCAACAGCUCAAUUUGAAAUCUGGCUCUCUUUGGGGGUCCGAGUUGUAAUUUGCAGAGGAUGCUUUGGCAUUGGCGGCGGUCUAAGUUCCUUGGAACAGGACAUCACAGAGGGUGAGAAUCCCGUACGUGGUCGCCUGCCUUUGCCGUGUAAAGCUCCUUCGACGAGUCGAGUUGUUUGGGAAUGCAGCUCUAAAUGGGAGGUAAAUUUCUUCUAAAGCUAAAUACUGGCCAGAGACCGAUAGCGCACAAGUAGAGUGAUCGAAAGAUGAAAAGUACUUUGGAAAGAGAGUCAAAAAGCACGUGAAAUUGUUGAAAGGGAAGCGCUUGCAGCCAGACUUGCCCGCAGUUGCUCACCUAGGCUUUGGCCUGGGGCACUCUUCUGCGGGCAGGCCAGCAUCAGUUUGGGCGGUUGGAUAAAGGCCUCUGUCACGUAUCUCCCUUCGGGGUGACCUUAUAGGGGAGGCGCAAUGCAACCAGCCCGGACUGAGGUCCGCGCAUCUGCUAGGAUGCUGGCGUAAUGGCUGUAAGCGGCCCGUCUUGAAACACGGACCAAGGAGUCUAACAUCUAUGCGAGUGUUUGGGUGUCAAGCCCGAGCGCGCAAUGAAAGUGAACGGAGGUGGGAACCCUUUGGGUGCACCAUCGACCGAUCCUGAUGUCUUCGGAUGGAUUUGAGUAAGAGCAUAGCUGUUGGGACCCGAAAGAUGGUGAACUAUGCUUGAAUAGGGUGAAGCCAGAGGAAACUCUGGUGGAGGCUCGCAGCGGUUCUGACGUGCAAAUCGAUCGUCAAAUUUGGGCAUAGGGGC
rnacentral:rRNA from 1 species